rnacentral:lncRNA from 1 species
AAUUUGAACCAUGUACAGUAGUAAAUUAUUAUAACUUGUAGCCAUAUUUCUGAAUAUACCCCCUUGAAAAUCCUACCAUUCCUCUUUCUUUAGCUUGUAACCUUUUGUAUCCCCACUGAUCAAUAUCAGAAUGACCUUAUGGUAGCAAAUCUAACAGCUACAUAAUUCUUUGCCAGAGGCAGAGGAUUUUGGAAAUUAGCUUCCUAAAUCUGAUUAAUAAGGCCUGGUAAGGAAAUGUAGUGAUUAUUAUUAUGUUGACAUUAGCAAGGAGUAGGGUAAUGAGAUGGAGGUGAGUUCAAAAAGACAGAGAUGUUAACACGUUACAAGUGAAUUUUCUCCAGGACUCAUUUCCAAUUACAAGUGUACCAAUUAUUUGUACCAGUUACCAAGUGUUCUUAAGGGUAUAGUAAUCUUUGCUUGCCUUGUAAAGUCACUGCUUUGAGUGCAAACAUAAACAUAAAUAAACCUAAUGUAUUCGAGAUAACCACCAUUGACCUUGAGGCUUGUUUAACAUGAAGUCAGGCAAAAACUUAAUAUUUAAUAUAUGUUUUCUGAGCUAUCAUUAUGCAAACUAAUUCUCUUAGACCAGAGUUUAAGUAUAUUUCUAUUAAAAUAAAGCAGUCGAUGUUAAUGUAUGUUCAAUUUAUUCUGUUUGCUUCUGUUUUGGAAAAAACUAGCAGAUAAAUAAGGUAGUUUUGGUAAAAUCAUACUUACCAGUGACACAUAGAUUGCCAGAGAGAAUUUGGAAGGGUUUGGACUGAUUAAGCCUCAGGGAAAUUAUGACUAAAAACAUGAACUUCACACUGGAGAGGAGAAAAAAAUCCCACUGUCCACAGUGAUGAAAUGAAGUUGGCUGAAGAGGGCAAAAGACCCAAGAGGUAAUACAUUAGCAAAUGUCAAUGUGAAUAAACCAGUAUAUGAUACUUCUAACUUAGCCUCACAUUUAAGAUCCUCUCUGUUUCAACCUCAGAUAAUCUUUCUACCCUUAUUGUUCCCCUAAAUAUAUUCUUUGUGUGAGUCACUACUGUAUUAACAU